AGUGAACGCUGGCGGUAGGCCUAACACAUGCAAGUCGAACGGCAGCACAGGAGAGCUUGCUCUCUGGGGGGCGAGUGGCGGACGGGUGAGGAAUACAUCGGAAUCUACUCUGUCGUGAGGGAUAACGUAGGGAAACUUACGCUAAUACAGCAUACGACUUACGGGUGAAAGCAGGGGACUUCCGGGCUUGGAGCGAUUGAAUGAGCUGAUGUAGGAUUAGCUAGUUGGCGGGGUAAAGGCCCACCAAGGCGACGAGCCGUAGCUGGGCGGAGAGGAUGAUCAGCCACACUGCACCGGAGACACGGUCCAGACUCCUACGGGAGGCAGCAGUGGGGAAUAUUGGACAAUGGGCGCAAGCCUGAUCCAGCCAUACCGCGUGGGUGAAGAAAGCCUUCGGGUUGUAAAGCCCUUUUGUUGGUAAAGAAAUCCAGCUGGCUAAUACCCGGUUGGGAUGACGGUACCCAAAGAAUAAGCACCGGCUAACUUCGUGCCAGCCGCCGCGGUAA
rnacentral:rRNA from 1 species